rnacentral:tRNA from 1 species
AUUCUAGUAGUUUAAUAAAAAUUUUGAUUUGUGGCAUCAAAGAUGUUAUAUUUUAACCUUGAAUA